GGUUAUAUAGUAUAGUAGUAAUAUAUAUACAUUUUUAAAUAUACUUGCUACCCCCUCCUUAGGUAGCAAGUAUAGACUUAUAUAAGGUUAUAGGUUUAAUUCCUAUUAUAGUUA